rnacentral:rRNA from 1 species
GGUGAACGCUGGCGGUAGGCCUAAUACAUGCAAGUCGAGCGGCAAGACAGUAAGAGCUCUCCCUUAAGGGUGGCGAGUGGCGGAUGGGUAAGGAAUAGAUAAGAUUCCACUAUGUCGUGGGGGACUACGUAAAGAAACUAUUACUAACACCGCAUACGACCUACGGGAAGAAGCAGGAAAUAUUCGGAGUUUGACCGAUACAAUGAGACGAUGCCGCAUUAGCUAGUUGGCUGGGUAAAGGCCCACCAAGGCAACGCGCCGUAGCUGCACUGACAGGAUGAGCGGCCACACUGGAACUGAGACACGGUCCAGACUCCUACGGGAGGCAGCAGUAGGGAAUAUUGUGCAAUGGGCGCAAGCCUGAUGCAGCCAAGCCGCGUGGGUGAAGAAGUUCUUCGGGUCGUAAAGCCCUUUUGUUGGGUAAGAAAAACUGCAGGUUAAAACACCGCUGUUCUGACGGUACCUAAAGAAUAAGCACCGGCUAACUUCGUG